rnacentral:rRNA from 1 species
UACGUAGGGGGCUAGCGUUGUCCGGAAUUACUGGGCGUAAAGGGCGUGUAGGCGGUGGAGCAAGUCAGAUGUGAAACCCCUGGGCUUAACCGAGGGCAUGCAACUGAAACUGUUCCACUUGAGUGCAGGAGAGGGAAGCGGAAUUCCUGGUGUAGCGGUGAAAUGCGUAGAUAUCAGGAAGAACACCGGUGGCGAAGGCGGCUUUCUGGCCUGUAACUGACGCUGAGGCGCGAAAGCGUGGGGAGCAAACAGG